AAAAAGUGUUCAUGAAUUUUUUUUCAUAUAGCCGAAACUAAAAAGAAAGAAAAGGAAGAAGCAAGCUAGGGUUCGGUUGAUUUUUAAGCUCAAUCAAGAUCAAGAACCAAAGAAAUCAAAUUUGGAUCAGGGAAAAACGAAAGUGGUCGACUAGUCGUCCUGUUCCGUCUUUAUAUCGUCCCAGAUUUUGAAUCCAAGUUACGAAUUUGGGAAUUGUCAGAGGAGCUUAUCACGCUAUCGACUGUAUUCGGUAUUUUAUAAAUUGUGUUUUAGAACUAUGGCAUGUAUAGGCUGGAAAGUGUUGUUGAAAUAACGAAUUUAGUUAUGUAUUUAAAGCCAUGAGAAAAUGGCUGGCUUAUUAUGCCUAAGUUUGGUUGUACAUAUUCUUAAUUAAAAUGUUUGAUGAGUUUAUUUAUUGGUAAUUUAAUGAUGGAAGAUUUAGAUGUGUAUAUGAAUUUAGGUAAUAAGAUUCGGUUAUGAAACCAAAUAGCAUAAUAUGUAUUUGGUACAAAGUAUAAAUUUUGCAUGCGUGAUU